rnacentral:rRNA from 1 species
UGGCGGCAGGCUACACUGCAGGUCGAGCGCGCCUUCGGGUGAGCGGCGGACGGGUUAGUAACGCGUGGGAACGUGCCCUUCUCUACGGAAUAGCCUCUGGAAACGGAGAGUAAUACCGUAUACGCCCUUUGGGGGAAAGAUUUAUCGGAGAAGGAUCGGCCCGCGUUAGAUUAGGUAGUUGGUGGGGUAACGGCCUACCAAGCCUACGAUCUAUAGCUGGUUUUAGAGGAUGAUCAGCAACACUGGGACUGAGACACGGCCCAGACUCCUACGGGAGGCAGCAGUGGGGAAUCUUAGACAAUGGGGGCAACCCUGAUCUAGCCAUGCCGCGUGAGUGAUGAAGGCCUUAGGGUCGUAAAGCUCUUUCGCCUGUGAUGAUAAUGACAGUAGCAGGUAAAGAAACCCCGGCUAACUCCGUGCCAGCAGCCGCGGUAAUACGGAGGGGGUUAGCGUUGUUCGGAAUUACUGGGCGUAAAGCGCGCGUAGGCGGAUUAGAAAGUUGGGGGUGAAAUCCCGGGGCUCAACCCCGGAACUGCCUCCAAAACUGCUAGUCUAGAGUUCGAGAGAGGUGAGUGGAAUUCCGAGUGUAGAGGUGAAAUUCGUAGAUAUUCGGAGGAACACCAGUGGCGAAUGCGGCUCACUGGCUCG